rnacentral:rRNA from 1 species
ACGCGGUUACUUCGCAAGAGGUAACUGAGUGGCGAACGGGUGAGUAACACGUGGGUGACCUACCUUCGAAUGGGGGAUAACGUCCCGAAAGGGACGCUAAUACCGCAUAACAUCCUGCUUUUGAACAGGUGGAGAUCAAAGCCGGGGAUCGCAAGACCUGGCGUUUGAAGAGGGGCCCGCGUCUGAUUAGCUAGUUGGUGAGGUAACGGCCCACCAAGGCGACGAUCAGUAUCCGGCCUGAGAGGGCGGACGGACACACUGGGACUGAGACACGGCCCAGACUCCUACGGGAGGCAGCAGUGGGGAAUUGUUCGCAAUGGGCGCAAGCCUGACGACGCAACGCCGCGUGGAGGAUGAAGGUCUUCGGAUUGUAAACUCCUGUUGCCCGGGACGAAAAGCUUCAACCUAAUACGUUGAAGUCUGACGGUACCGGGUGAGGAAGCCCCGGCUAACUCUGUGCCAGCAGCCGCGGUAAUACAGAGGGGGCAAGCGUUGUUCGGAAUUACUGGGCGUAAAGGGCGCGUAGGCGGCCCGCUAAGUCGAACGUGAAAUCCCCGGGCUCAACCCGGGAACUGCGUCCGAUACUGGCAGGCUUGAAUUCGGGAGAGGGAUGCGGAAUUCCAGGUGUAGCGGUGAAAUGCGUAGAUAUCUGGAGGAACACCGGUGGCGAAGGCGGCAUCCUGGACCGAGAUUGACGCUGAGGCGCGAAAGCCAGGGGAGCAAACGGGGAUAGAUACCCCGGUAGUCCUGGGCC